UACGUAGGGUGCAAGCGUUAAUCGGAAUUACUGGGCGUAAAGCGUGCGCAGGCGGUUAUGUAAGACAGAUGUGAAAUGCCCGGGCUUAAACUGGGAACUGCAUUUGUGACUGCAUGGCUAGAGUUUGGCAGAGGGGGGUAGAAUUCCACGUGUAGCAGUGAAAUGCGUAGAUAUGUGGAGGAACACCGAUGGCGAAGGCAGCCCCCUGGGUCAAGACUGACGCUCAUGCACGAAAGCGUGGGGAGCAAACAGG
rnacentral:rRNA from 1 species